rnacentral:rRNA from 1 species
GUGUCAGCAGCCGCGGUAAUACGUAGGAUCCAAGCGUUGUCCGGAUUUACUGGGUGUAAAGGGUGCGCAGGCGGACUUGUUAGUCAGAGGUGAAAUCUCACGGCUCAACCGUGAAACUGCCUUUGAUACUGCAGGUCUUGAAUUGGGGAGAGAGUUGUGGAAUUCCGAGUGUAGCAGUGAAAUGUGUAGAUAUUCGGAAGAACACCAGUGGCGAAGGCAGCAACUUGGCCCCAGAUUGACGCUCAGGCACGAAAGCAUGGGGAUCAAACAGGAUUAGAUACCCGCGUAGUCC